GCGCAGCAGUCGAGAAACCUUCGCAAUGCAGGAAACUGCGACGAGGGAACUCCAAGUGCCUACGGCUCAGCGUAGGCUGUUCUCAAGCCUAGAAAGCUUGAGGAGUAAGGGCUGGGUAAGACGGGUGCCAUCUGUGGUAGCAGUCAAUAGAUUCGAUUUUGUUACUGCAAGGCAUUAAGCCGCCGCGGUAAUACCCGCAGCCCAAGUGGUGGCCGCUUUUAUUGGGGCCUAAAGCGUCCGUAGCCCGGCCCGGUAAAUGCCUGGGGUAAAUCGUGGAGCCCAACUUCACGAAUUCCGGGUAGA
rnacentral:rRNA from 1 species